UACGUAGGUGGCGAGCGUUAUCCGGAAUGAUUGGGCGUAAAGGGUGCGUAGGCGGCCUGCUAAGUCUGGAGUGAAAGGUACCGGCUCAACCGUGGAACAGCCCUUGAUACUGCGCGACUUGAAUCCGGGAGAGGGUGGCGGAAUUCCAGGUGUAGGAGUGAAAUCCGUAGAUAUCUGGAGGAACAUCAGUGGCGAAGGCGGCCACCUGGACCGGUAUUGACGCUGAGGCGCGAAAGCGUGGGGAGCAAACAGG
rnacentral:rRNA from 1 species